rnacentral:rRNA from 1 species
GACAGAGGGUGCAAACGUUGUUCGGAAUUACUGGGCGUAAAGCGCGUGUAGGCGGCUAUGUAAGUCGGGCGUGAAAUCCCACGGCUCAACCGUGGAAGUGCACUCGAAACUGCAUAGCUAGAGUCCUGGAGAGGAAGGUGGAAUGCUUGGUGUAGAGGUGAAAUUCGUAGAUAUUCGCAAGAACACCAGUGGCGAAGGCGGCUCACUGGCCCGGUACUGACGCUGAGGUGCGAAAGCGUGGGGAGCAAACAGG